rnacentral:tRNA from 1 species
AACAGCGUAAUUUUAUUAGAGAGUUCAAAUCGAUAAUAAAGAUUGCGACCUCGAUGUUG